UUUGUUGAAAGUUGAAAAAAGUUGAUGAAAUAAUAAGAACAAGAAAAUAACACCCAGGCUUCACACUGCAAGGUGGUUCGAUUGAAUCAAACACCAACCUACCUUGAUCACACACAAGGGGUUCUUCGAUCAAACACAGGAGACCUUCAAACAUGAAGAGGGGGGGAGCAAAAGCUGCAACUUCUUUACUAAAUUCAUGUACAAUUCUGGCCUCCCUUACAAACUUAUAUAGAAGACUCAAAAAUAGACUCCUUCACUAAAAAGGAAAGGCCUAACACAAUCCUUAACUAAUAAGGUAACCUAAACUAACAAGGAAACUGAAAUAACAAAGAAAUAAGACACUAAAUUAAAUAAUCCCAUAUGCCUAGCCUAUACCCAUAUUAUAGGCCCAUUACAAUGAAAACCCAUGGGAUCAAAGGCCCAACACAUACAUAACCCAACCCAAAGCUUAUUUCUAAUAAAAUAAGCCCAUUUA